ensembl:lncRNA
ACUGGUCUACACCAUAUAUUUUGAUUUAACAUUUGUAGAACUACAGAUCGUCUCAAGUGUUAAAAAAUGUGCUGACCAAUCACUGCUACUGUAGGCUGGCCAACACCAAAACUCAGUCGCAAACAGAGGCAAUGUCACGAACACAAGCCCAAACUACAGUCUAAAGGUCAGAAGUGUUGAGGGGCUGCAUAGCUGCUGUUCUCUGACCUCACAGUCUGCAGAUUAACAGAGCUUCGCCGGCCCGAGGAAAACAUGACUGAGCUUCACAGCCAAGAGAGCCUCAUUUUUUCUUCUUGCUGGCUGACCAUGGCAGAUAAGAGUCAGGACCCAUCAGAGCCACUGAAGCGGGUGCCCAGGCGAGUGCCUGACCUAAAUGCUUGACUGCACUCAGCUAGCUAACCACAUUCAGCGGGCCGUGGAGGUGGAGUGAGGCUCUUCUGCUGUCUGCGGGUGCGUAUAAAUUGCUUGCUUGCAAAGGUAAGCUUAAUCCACCCUAUUCUGCCAGACAUUAGUGAGGAAGGGACAAACUUGAAAUGUUCUGUGGAGUGGACUGAAUGUCUCAUCUUUACCUGUGUGGCUUCUGAAAUACUUACAUUUCAUGUUGAAUAUUGCUUUCUCCAAUUAGCGGUACACGUUAACCCUAUUAAAAUCAUCCAAACUGUCUGUCAAAAGCUAUCUGUCAUCUGG